AUUGAACGCUGGCGGCAUGCCUUACACAUGCAAGUCGAACGGUAACGCGGGGCAACCUGGCGACGAGUGGCGAACGGGUGAGUAAUGCAUCGGAACGUGCCCAGUAGUGGGGGAUAGCCCGGCGAAAGCCGGAUUAAUACCGCAUACGACCUACGGGUGAAAGCGGGGGACCGUAAGGCCUCGCGCUAUUGGAGCGGCCGAUGUCAGAUUAGGUUGUUGGUGGGGUAAAGGCCUACCAAGCCGACGAUCUGUAGCUGGUCUGAGAGGACGACCAGCCACACUGGGACUGAGACACGGCCCAGACUCCUACGGGAGGCAGCAGUGGGGAAUUUUGGACAAUGGGGGCAACCCUGAUCCAGCCAUGCCGCGUGCGGGAAGAAGGCCUUCGGGUUGUAAACCGCUUUUGUCAGGGAAGAAACGCUCUGGGCUAAUACCCUGGGGUAAUGACGGUACCUGAAGAAUAAGCACCGGCUAACUACGUGCCAGCAGCCGCAGUAAGAC
rnacentral:rRNA from 1 species